rnacentral:tRNA from 1 species
GCGCUGGUGGUGUAAUGGGCUUAAAUCCUGUCUAGAAAGCAGAGGGUGCGGGCUGGAGUCCCGCCUGGCGCA